CCCCCAACCUAUUAUAUAACAAUAACUUAACUGUAUGGGCUCCACACAAAAGGAUUGUAGUUGGAUUAUUUCAGUUAUAUUUUUAUGUUCACAUAAACUUACUGUGUCUUUUGUAUUCACAUCUCCUCCGUCGUCCAAGUAUUUUCGAACUGUUUUCAGUUUACCACUGGACGCGGCCAUGAAGAAAUCGUAUUGCGUGAUCUUCUCAUUUGGGUCCGGCUGAUUAAAAGAUUUACCUCUACGUCCAUUUCUUCGUUGGUGAACUGUAUUCUUCCAAGAUGUACUCUGGAAAUCUUUCGUUUUUCGUUGGUGGACGAUUUUCUGCUCAUUGAAGCUAGUGGCGUAUCGUCUCAAUGGGCUGUGCAGCAAGUCAAGUUUCACCUGAAGCUAUUCGAGCAAAAAGACUUUCUAGAAGAAUUGAAAAAGAAAUAAACUC